rnacentral:rRNA from 1 species
UAGGGAAUCUUCCGCAAUGGACGAAAGUCUGACGGAGCAACGCCGCGUGAGUGAAGAAGGAUUUCGGUUCGUAAAACUCUGUUGUUAGGGAAGAAAAAAUGUAUAGUAACUAUAUACAAAAGAGACGGUACCUAACCAGAAAGCCACGGCUAACUACGUGCCAGCAGCCGCGGUAAUACGUAGGUGGCAAGCGUUGUCCGGAAUUAUUGGGCGUAAAGCGCGCGCAGGUGGUUUAGAAAGUCUGAUGUGAAAGCCCACGGCUCAACCGUGGAGGGUCAUUAGAAACUAAUAAACUUGAGUGCAGGAGAGAAAAGGGGAAUUGCUAGUGUAGCGGUGAAAUGCGUAGAGAAUAGGAGGAACACCGGUGGCGAAAGCGGCUUUUUAGACUGCAACUGACACUGAGGCGCGAAAGCGUGGGGAGCAAACAGG